CGGUGUAUGAGUGAAUAACUUCCUUUUUAACCAUUUGAACAGAACUCGGAAAACUCGAAAUUCGAUUCGACUUCCAGUUUCAAAUUCGGUUUUUGAGUCUUCGAAUCGAAUUAGCAAUUAAUUGGAGUUAACUGUGAGUGAGAGUGGAUGAGAAAAUCUCUUCAUAAGGUUGAGCACCCCAGGUGUUUGAUAAAAUGCCCCAAAGAAUAUAUAUUUUGCAUUGCUCCACAAAACCCUUGUUUUCUUUCACAGUGGGCCCUCAUUAGCUACUUACUUGUAUUUGGUAUUGACUUUUAACUUCACAAUAACCCAAUCAUUCAUUGUUGAGAUAUAAAGAACAAGACAAAGGGGAUGUUAACAAUCCACCAAUAUUGACCACUGACCAGAUCCCAAAGCUAUCAUUUCUAUGUGGGUGGGUGUCAGUGUCACACACACACACUAUGUGUUUACACAUUGACAAGACCCUAUUCCAUCCAACAAAGUCAAUCACUUUGUGAACCAUCAUUCAUGGGUAUGUCAGUGACUUUGUCUCACCUUUCAGUUUCAACAAUGAAUAAUAACUUUCUGUUGGUGCAUGGGUUUUCUGCUUUCACACACCUUGGUUUCUUACUUCUUGUAUUCAUCAGUUGUCUAUGCAAAACAAUCACUUUCAAAGGUCCUAAACAGAUGCCCAACAGUGGGGUCUUGUUUUACAGACAGACCCUGUUAUCUUGUAUGGUCCUUGUGGUUCUUAACCUUGUUAUGUGUUCCUUGAACCUUCUUUUUUGGUAUAGAAAUAGUUGGACUAAAGUCAACACUGUUGGCUUUUCGGAUACCCUUCUUCGAACUCUUGUUUGGUUAUUCAUUUCGGUUUACUUGCACAAUCAUGUCUCUAAAUCCACACAAUCUAAGUAUCCGUUUGCGUUAAGGAUUUGGUGGUUUUCUUCUUUCUUAAUCUUUAGUUUUUGUCUAGUGUCAGAUUAUGUUUUCCACAAACAGAUUCAUAGUUUAGCAGCCCAUUUCUUGGUGUUAGAUGCUUCGUCUAGUUUCGUCGGUUUAUUCCUGUGUUAUGUUGGGUUCUUGGUUAAGAAUGAAGGUGGAACCGUAAGCCAUUUUCAUCAUGAACCGUUGUUAGAUAGCAGCUCUAGUGAAACUAUAAACCCUUGGUCAACCAGCAAUAUCUUCAGUCUUCUUACGUUCUCUUGGAUUCAUCCGUUGAUUUCUCUAGGAUAUAAGAAACGAUUAGAUCUUGAGGACGUCCCUCAACUCGACAGUUUAAAUAGUGCUAAAAGAUCCUUUUCGGUUUUACAAAAUAAACUACAAUUGGAUAAGAGUAUAAGUAUCCAAAUGAAUACUUUAAGUCUUGUCAAGGCUGUGGUAUUGACAACAUGGAAAGACAUAAUAAUCACUGGUCUCCUUUCUUUUGUGUCCACGUUAGCUUCAUACGUGGGGCCGUUCCUUAUAAACACAUUUGUCGGGUAUCUAAGUGGACAACGAGACUUAAACACAGGCUUACUUCUAGUUUCUGCGUUCAUUGUUGCUAAGAUUGUAGAGUGUUUGGCACAACGACACUGUGAGUUAAAGCUGCAACAGGCUGGAACUAACGUCAGAGCUGCACUUGUUGCAAUGAUAUACCACAAAGGUUUGACCCUUUCGUCUCAGUCAAAACAGGGACACUCGAAUGGCGAGAUUAUUAACUUCAUGGCCGUUGAUGCUGAAAGAGUCGGUGAUUUCAGCAAGUACAUGCACAACACAUGGUUGGUCAUCAUACAAGUCGGUCUGGCACUAGCAAUAUUGUAUAAAAAUCUCGGGAUUUCUUCACUGGCCACCUUUGUUGCAACAAUCAUCGUCAUGUUAUCGAACAUACCAUUAGGGAGUUUUCAGGAAAAGUUUCAAGAGGAGUUGAUGAAAUGUAAAGAUAAAAGGAUGAAACAAACUUCUGAAAUUUUAAAGAAUAUGAGGAUUCUCAAGCUUUAUGGAUGGGAGAUGAAGUUCUUGUCGAGAAUUAACGAUAUCCGGAACGAUGAGGCGCAUUGGCUGUAUAAAUAUACAUUUACGGUGGCAAUGGCUAGUUUUGCGUUCUGGGUUGCACCCACGUGUGUGGCUAUAGCCACAUUUGGUACGUGUAUGCUUGCUGGCAUCCCACUUGACUCCGGGAAGGUGUUGUCUGCACUUGCAACGUUUAAGAAUCUCCAACACUCGGUGUAUAAUCUUCCGGAUACAAUAUCUAUGAUGGUAGAGACCAAAGUUUCGCUUGAUCGUAUUGCAUCAUUCCUCAGUCUAUCUGAAUUAGAUUCUGGUCUGGUAGAAAUAAUCCCAAGAGGUAGUUCUGACACGGUAGUUGAGAUUGUUGAUGGAAAUUUUUCAUGGGAUGCGGCAUCUUGUAAUCCAACGCUGAGUGAUAUAAGUUUCAGAGUUUUUCAUCGCAUGAAGGUUGCUGUAUGCGGCCCGGUUGGCUCGGGAAAGUCAAGCUUACUGUCGUGUAUACUAGGUGAACUGCCUAAAUUAUCUGGAAAAGUCAAACUCAGUGGCUCAAAGGCGUAUGUUGGUCAAUCUCCAUGGAUACAGAGUGGAAUGAUAGAACAGAAUAUCCUGUUUGGUAAGGAGAUGGACAGAGAACGUUACGAGAAGGUUCUAGAAGCGUGUGAUUUCAAGCAAGACCUUAAAGUUCUAUCUUUCGGUGAUCAAACGGUUAUAGGGGAGAGGGGAAUCAAUUUGAGUGGAGGUCAGAAACAGAGAAUACAGAUAGCGCGUGCUCUGUAUCAAGAUGCUGAUAUAUAUCUAUUUGAUGAUCCGUUCAGCGCUGUUGAUGCCAUUACAGGAAACCAUCUUUUCAAGGAAUGUAUGAUGGAUUUCUUGGAAUCAAAAACAGUGAUUUACGUCACGCAUCAGGUGGAGUUUUUACCCGCUGCAGAUCUGAUCUUGGUCUUGAAGGAUGGAAGAAUUACACAAGCUGGAAAAUACGACGAUAUGAUGAAGCUAGGAAGCGACUUUUUAGAACUUGUAGGCGCACACAAAGAAGCUUUAUUAGAAAUUGAUUCUGUAGGGCAUAAUUUAGAAACUGUAAAAAAGAAUAUCGAAGACGAGACUAUAACGGGUCAAAACGGUAAUUUAGCUCACGUGGAGGAGAAGAAAAGGCAGCUUGUGGAAGAAGAAGAAAGAGAAAGAGGUGAAGUCGGCUCAUCGGCGUAUUGGAAAUACCUUACAACUGCUUAUGGAGGGGCGCUUACUCCUUUGGUAUUAUUAUCACUAAUUAUGUUUGAGUUAUCUCAAAUCUCCAGCAAUUACUGGUUGGCUUGGGCAUCGCCUACAUCCGAAAGUAACGAAGCGCAUGUUGAUGGCUUUGAGUUCAUUGUCGUUUAUGUGGCUUUUGGAACUGGAUGUGCCUUUUGUAUUCUAGCACGAUCUAUGUUACUCAUGAAAGUUGGCUAUGAAACAGCCAACCGGCUUUUCGACAAAAUGCAUUUUUGUAUUUUCCGUGCACCCAUGUCGUUCUUUGAUGCUAACCCAUCUAGUCGAAUUCUAAACAGAGUAUCUACAGACCAAACUGCAGUUGACUUGACAGUACCGUCUACUAUCGGUUCAUUUGCGUAUGUGGUCAUACAGCUUUUUGGCAUUAUUUUCGUUAUGUCACUAGGUGCUUGGCCCGUGUUCCUUGUUUUCUUUCCCAUGAUUGGAAUUUGCAUCAGAUUACAGCACGAGAACUGGCUCGAUUGGUUGGAGUAUGCAAAGCACCGGUCAUUCAGCAUUUUUCUGAAACAAUAUCGGGAUCAACGACUGUUAGAGGCUUUGAUCAGAAACACAGAUUCCAAGACACAUGCUUGAAACUGAUUGACGAUUAUUCCAGACCGAAGUUUCAUGUUGCCGGUGCAUUGGCUUGGUUCGGAUUACGCUUGGAUAUGCUGUCUUCUUUUAUUUUUUCCUUCCUUCUGAUCUUUCUAGUUACUGUUCCCGAAGGAAUAAUUGACCCAAGUACCGCAGGCUUAGCAGUAACGUAUGGACUAAAUUUGAACAUGUUACAAUUUUGGGCUAUACUAAAACUUUGCAAAUUGGAAAUACAAUUUAUUUCGGUUGAAAGAAUUUUUCAAUACAGUUCUAUCGCAAGUGAGCCUCCUCUUGUUAUAGACUCGAAUAGACCUGAUCGCUUCUGGCCUUCACAAGGAAAAGUCGAUAUUCACCAUCUGCAGGUUCGAUACGCCCCACACAUGCCACUUGUGUUGAGAGGCAUUACAUGCACUUUCCAUGGAGGUAAAAAGACGGGAAUUGUGGGGAGGACCGGAAGUGGUAAAUCUACUCUUAUACAAACACUCUUCCGUAUCGUCGAACCUACCAGUGGGGAAAUUUUUAUAGACGGGAUCAACAUUUCAUCGAUUGGACUCCAUGAUUUAAGAUCUAGAUUAAGCAUAAUUCCCCAAGAUCCCACUAUGUUCAACGGAACUAUUAGAAGCAACAUGGACCCACUUGAGGACUAUACCGAUGAUCAGAUUUGGGAGGCUCUUGAUAAAUGCCAGAUUGGAGAUGAGGUUAGAAGUAAGGAAGGCCAGCUUAAUGCUACAGUUACUGAAAACGGAGAGAACUGGAGCAUGGGUCAACGGCAACUGAUCUGUCUUGGGCGUGUGCUACUGAAGAAAAGCAAGAUUCUGGUUCUUGAUGAGGCCACUGCUUCAGUUGAUACAGCGACAGAUAACAUGAUUCAGAAAACACUUAGGGAACACUUUUCAGACUCGACUGUCAUAGCAAUAGCACAUCGAAUCACCUCUGUCGUCAAAAGUGACAUGGUUUUAGUUUUAAACAAUGGUCUUAUUGAAGAAUAUGAUUCUCCUACAGCAUUGCUUGAAGAUAAAUCUUCUUCUUUUUCCCAGUUGGUUGCAGAGUAUGGCAUGAGGUCGAAUUCUAGUUAUAUAACUAACCACUGUUGACAACCCUAUUGAUGCCAAAUUGUAAUCAUUGUGGCAAGUAUAUAAAAGUAACAUGUACAAUUUGAUUUGAGAAAUAUUCAUUGAAAGAUAAAUAUUUUGAACAGAGUUCCUUGAUCUGUGACAGUUAUUGUUAUAUCAUUGAAAUGACAAAUAUUUUAAUUA